rnacentral:rRNA from 1 species
CAAUAGCGUAUAUUAAAGUUGUUGCAGUUAAAAAGCUCGUAGUUGGAUUUCUGAUCGAGACAUCAGGUCGGGUCCGAGAGGAUCAUGUACUUUGAUUUUGUUUUGAUCAUCCUUGGGGAGAGCAUUUCUGGCAUUCAGUUGUCGGGAUUGGGAUCCUCAUCGUUUACUGUGAAAAAAUUAGAGUGUUCAAAGCAGGCCUCGGCCUCUGAAUACAUUAGCAUGGAAUAAUAAGAUAGGACUUUGGUGGUCUAUUUUGUUGGUUUGCACGCCAAAGUAAUGAUUAAUAGGGAUAGUUGGGGGUAUUCGUAUUCAAUUGUCAGAGGUGAAAUUCUUGGAUUUAUGGAAGACGAACUACUGCGAAAGCAUUUACCAAGAUGUUUUCAUUAA